GGCGAGAGACCGAUAGCGAACAAGUACCGUGAGGGAAAGAUGAAAAGAACUUUGAAAAGAGAGUUAAACAGUACGUGAAAUUGUUGAAAGGGAAACGAUUGAAGCCAGUCGUACCUUCGGGUAAUCAGCCUUUCGGGUGCGAUUCUGUGGAGUGUGAGGAGCUUAACACCUUCAUGCUUUGCAUAUUUGUGCUCUUGGGUGUACUUGCCCGUGUGGUUGGUUAACAUCAAUUUUAAUUAUCAUAAAAUGACUGGAGGAAUGUAGCUUCGAUCUCGUAUUGAAGUGUUAUAGCCUUUGGUAGAUGUGAUGAUCGAGAUUGAGGAUUGCAACGGAUACCCUUCGGGGCUACCUGUCUGGUCUCUGAUCGUUGCUCUGGUGCCGAAAGCUUGCUUACGGUUAUCAAAGUCGAUGGUCAAUAGGUUAGAACGGGUUAAA
rnacentral:rRNA from 1 species